rnacentral:misc_RNA from 1 species
GAUGAAGAACGUAGCGAAAUGCGAUAAGUAAUGUGAAUUGCAGAAUUCAGUGAAUCAUCGAAUCUUUGAACGCACAUUGCGCCCGCCAGUAUUCUGGCGGGCAUGCCUGUUCGAGCGUCAUUUCAACCAUCAAGCCCCCGGCUUGUGUUGGGGACCUGCGGCUGCCGCAGGCCCUGAAAAGCAGUGGCGGGCUCGCUGUCACACCGAGCGUAGUAGCAUACAUCUCGCUCUGGGCGUGCUGCGGGUUCCGGCCGUUAAACCACCUUCUUAACCCAAGGUUGACCUCGGAUCAGGUAGGAAGACCCGCUGAACUUAAGCAUAUCAAUAAGCGGAGGA